rnacentral:rRNA from 1 species
GAUGAACGCUGGCGGCGUGCUUAACACAUGCAAGUCGAACGAUGAACCGGGUGCUUGCACUCGGGGAUUAGUGGCGAACGGGUGAGUAACACGUGAGCAACCUGCCCCUGACUCUGGGAUAAGCGCUGGAAACGGCGUCUAAUACUGGAUAUGUCCCGUCACCGCAUGGUGUGCGGGUGGAAAGAUUUUCCGGUUGGGGAUGGGCUCGCGGCCUAUCAGCUUGUUGGUGAGGUAAUGGCUCACCAAGGCGUCGACGGGUAGCCGGCCUGAGAGGGUGACCGGGCACACUGGGACUGGGAAACGGCCUAGACUCCUACGGGGUGCAGCAGUUGGGAAUAUGGCACAAUGGGCGCAGGGCUAAUGCAGCGACGCGGGGUGAGGGAUGACGGCCUUCGGGUUGUAAACCUCCUUCAGCAUCGACGAAGCGAAAGUGACGGUAGGUGCAGAAGAAGGACCGGCCAACUACGUGCCAGCAGCCGCCGUAA